rnacentral:rRNA from 1 species
UACGAAGGGGGCUAGCGUUGUUCGGAAAUACUGGGCGUCAAGCGCACGUAGGCGGACAUUUAAGUCAGGGGUGAAAUCCCAGAGCUCAACUCUGGAACUGCCUUUGAUACUGGGUGUCUUGAGUAUGGAAGAGGUGAGUGGAAUUCCGAGUGUAGAGGUGAAAUUCGUAGAUAUUCGGAGGAACACCAGUGGCGAAGGCGGCUCACUGGCCCGGUACUGACGCUGAGGUGCGAAAGCGUGGGGAGCAAACAGG